ACUUUAUUGUCCUUGUUUGGGGUUUUCUGUCUUUUUUUUAAUACAGGAAACUGCCAGCAACCAUUUACUCAAACUGUGACCAGAGCAGCUAAAAUCAUGUGUGAUUAUCCAGAUGUUGAAUUCAUGUCUGGGGUCAAGUUUUUCUGCAGAGGGGAGGAUUUCACCUGUAAGGAUAUUUUGUCAACAAAAGUUCUGACGUUAAACGAGAAAUUCAGACUCACAAACACCAACAGAGGCUUCGACGUGUCCAUCAGGGAUGUUUCCUCACAGGACGCCGGUGUCUACUGGUGUGGAGUGGAAUCAAAUGGUGGAAGCUACAAAGCUUCAAUCAGACAAAUAAAACUGGUGAUUGAAGAGCCAUCAACAGCAUCACCAACUUUCACACAGUCAGCUGUUGUUCCUCACGUGAGCUCUGAGCCAUCAACAGCAUCACCAACUUUCACACAGUCAGCUGCUGUUCCUCACGUGAGCUCUGGUGUCUUCGAGCUGGUCAUUACUGUAAUGAAGUGUAUAACUGUGCUGGUGCUUCUGGGAGUUUCAAUCCUUAUCUUCAAACGACUGUGUGUCCAAGGAGAUACAGGAGCACCUCCAGCAGCCAGAAGAUGCAGCAAACUCAAUUUGUGUCACUCCCAGCAUUCCCACAGAUGUUGCUGCCUCACCACAUUAUGCUAGCAUCAACUUUCAAAGCUGCUCUGGUAGUGA
ensembl:lncRNA